AACGCGAAGAACCUUACCUAGGCUUGACAUGUACCUGACCGCUGUAGAAAUACAGUUUUCUGAGCUUCGGUUCAGACGAGUACACAGGUGCUGCAUGGCUGUCGUCAGCUCGUGUCGUGAGAUGUUGGGUUAAGUCCUCUAACGAGCGCAACCCUUGCCGUCAGUUGCUACUUGCGUAAGCAAAGCACUCUGAUGGGACUGCCUGGGAAACUAGGAGGAAGGUGGGGACGACGUCAAGUCAUCAUGGUCCUUAUGCCUAGGGCUACACACGUGUUACAAUGGCUAGUACAAAGAGCUGCUAAUCCGUAAGGACAAGCUAAUCUCAAAAAACUAGUCUAAGUUCGGAUUGAGGUCUGCAACUCGACCUCAUGAAGUUGAAAUCGCUAGUAAUCGCGUAUCAGCAACGACGCGGUGAAUACGUUCUCGGGCCUUGUACACACCGCACGA
rnacentral:rRNA from 1 species